GCUGCUGUACCUACGGCCAGUGCUCUCUUCCCCUUCCUCGCCGGCCUCCUUGUCGCUCUCCCCCUUAAUGACCAGGGUGUUAUGCUCCGCCCACACCUUGACGUGCUCCUUCCCCAGCCCCGGCAUGUCCACGCGGAGGUGCAACGCGUGCUCGUCCUCCCUCGCGUCCCACCCGCGGCGGAGCCCGCCGGCGGCGCCGCUCGGCCCGGCCGCUGCGAAGAUGGGGUUAUCCAGCAUCUGGUCCAUCAGGUUCAGCACCUGGCUCAGGCUCCGCGUCGGGUUGAACGGAUCGAACACCUCUGCAUCACAGAAAACCCUCGAUUCAGCAUCUCGACGGCAGGGAGAGCGAAAGGGGUCGGAGAGGGAGAACGAAAUUAACAUGGAAUGAGAUGACGACUACCUUGGAGAGAGGGGAAUGAGUCUGCGCGGCGGCGGUGAGCAGCGGCGGGGGAGUCGGGGCGUCGCUCGAGGUCGACGUCGCGGUUGUCGUCAUCGUAGUCUCGAAGGGUGCCGGUGCUGAAGAGGCGAGUGGUGGCAGCUGCCACAGGGCGACCAGGG
rnacentral:lncRNA from 1 species